rnacentral:rRNA from 1 species
UACGUAGGUGGCAAGCGUUGUCCGGAAUCACUGGGCGUAAAGCGCGCGCAGGCGGCGAUCUACGUCUGGGGUGAAAGCCCGGAGCUCAACUCCGGGACUGCCUUGGAUACGGGAUCGCUUGAGGAUUGGAGAGGCAAGGGGAAUUCCCAGUGUAGCGGUGAAAUGCGUAGAUAUUGGGAAGAACACCAGCGGCGAAAGCGCGCUACUGGGCCAUUACUGACACUCAUGGGCGAAAGCUAGGGGAGCGAAAGGG